UACAGAGGGUGCAAACGUUGUUCGGAAUUACUGGGCGUAAAGCGCGUGUAGGCGGCUAUGCAAGUCGGAUGUGAAAGCCCUCGGCUCAACCGGGGAAGUGCACCCGAAACUGCAAGGCUAGAGUCUCGGAGAGGAUCGUGGAAUUCUCGGUGUAGAGGUGAAAUUCGUAGAUAUCGAGAGGAACACCGGUGGCGAAGGCGACGAUCUGGACGAUGACUGACGCUGAGACGCGAAAGCGUGGGGAGCAAACAGG
rnacentral:rRNA from 1 species